UAGAUUGAAAAAUUGGGUCAAUAAGGACAUUCAAAGUUUACAACGUCUCUAAUUUUCGACAUAGUCGCGUGAUGUCGCCCGGUUUGCUGCAUCGACGAAACUUGGGGAAGUUUCUAAGUCCCGCGUUACGGGUCUAUAAGUGCACUCAUCGUUAUAUUAAUUGUUUGCAGGGCUCCUGCAUUGGGGUCAACUCUUCUUGGUUCGAAUGAUUUAUUCCUCCGCUCUACAUAUGAAAAAAUCAGAAAUAUUCGCGGUUUGAGGCGUCGGAUAACAAUUGAAAUUGAAACAAUCGCCGUUUCGCUAUCGUAAACGACUCAAAGGGGAUUCGUGGAUGAUCGAUAAAAAUGUUUCUUAGUACAUUCGAUACGCAAGUCAAAACGUUGAUCCUGUUCAAAACGAAUAUUUAAUACGAAUUCAGUUGGUAAGCAUUCCGAGACCAGUGACGAAGAGAAUAGUGUUACAAAUGUAAAUAGAAAGAAGAAUAGAUUCAAAGCUCUUGCAGAGAGAGGGAAGGAAAACGAAUUAACCGCGUGUGUGUGUGUGUGACUACAGAAGUAAAACUUGGAGAGGAAUUUUUUUUAUCUCGAUAGACACGAGGAAACGAGAAAGAGAGAGAGAUAGAAGGAAAAUAAAAAAAGACGGAAACGAAAUAUGUCAGAGCUUGAAAUGCUGCAUGACAAAAAUUCGUUCGUCGUAACGAGCGUCUUGCGUUGAUUUGAUUUUUUCUCUUUCUCUUUUUUCCGUUCAUUAGUGUGCGCCACAAGCAUUAUUUUUAUACACACGGUAGUAGAAAUCCCCGUUGGUGGUGGCCAACCGUGACUAGCAGUGUUUUGUUUCGUUGAUUAAACGAUCGAUGCUACGAUGUCUUGGCCCUCGUGUUUCACGAUCUGAAAAAGGGGUUUGUGGCUUUUCUUUUUUUUCUUCUCGUAAUUAUUCGUCUCGUUCAUUGGAACGAUAUGUUUAGUUAAAUAACAUUAAACGUUAGAUCUCACGGUUACCCCGGCAAGACUGUCUGUAAGAAAUAAAGAAACUAUCCACAAAGGAGAAGAUAUUCGCAGACAAACAAGAAGUGAUUUACAAAGAUGGCAUCGUCUAUGGUGGCUGUUCCUUCUGGAACAGCUUCGGUUCCAGCUGGAACUGGUAUCAGUCAAAACGAAGAUGUGGAGAAUGGGAAUGUGUUUACUGAACGAAACAUAAACACUGUUACCAGCUGCAGCGAAACCUCUAAUCCUGGUGAUGCCUUGGAAGAAAUAAAUUGUGGCUCAGGUGAAUCAGGUGAUCAGGAAUGUGCUAUUUGCAUGAGCAAACUUUGUUCUCCACGAGUGCUCUCUUGUCUUCAUGUGUUUUGCGAGGCUUGCCUGGAUAAGCUUCUGAUGGACGAGGCAGGUGACUCUAAAGUUAGCUCUGUCCUAAUCUGCCCGCUCUGUCAACAAGAAACUUCCAUUAGUUCUAAGGGUGCUGCGUCACUGACAUGCGAUUAUGUUCUAACGAAUAUACUUGACAUGUCCGCGAUUGAGAACAUGGCUGUACUCUGUACCUCGUGUAAAGCCAAAGAGAGUGCGGUUGCACGUUGCUCGGACUGUGCCAACUUCUUAUGUCCGAAUUGCAACACCGCACACCAGUUCAUGCGUUGUUUUGAAAGUCACAAGGUCAUGGCCUUUGAAGAUUUAAAGCAAUCCAACGAAGCUAUACCAAUACACAAACCUAUUUUUUGCGAAUAUCAUCCUGCUGAAAAUAUGAAAUUUUACUGCUACACUUGCCAGGAACCUAUAUGCAACGAGUGUUUGCUUAUUGAACACAAAACUCCAGAGCAUCAGUAUGAAAGACUAAUGGAUGCAGAACCACGUCAGAAAGAAGAAUUAAUAAAAUUGAUGAAUGAGAGUAAAGCAAGAAUAGCAGACUGUGACCAAGUAUCUGCACAACUAGAAAAUGCACUUAGUGAACUACAAGCACAACAUGAUCAAGCUAAAGAUCUAAUUGUAGAGACAUUUCAGAGUUACAAGGCUGUUUUAGAGAAAUGUCGAGACAAUGCCCUGGUUGAGCUUGAAAAAUUACAUUCAGAUAGGGAAUUAGAAAUAAUGGACACGUUUCAUAGCGUUGAAAAGACAGUGGAGAAGAUAGAAGAUGCUUGUCGUUUUACCUCCAGACUUCUUGAGCAUGGUGAUGCUGUGGAGAUCCUCGCUCUUCGUCGUAUCGUAGGAACACAGUUAAUGAAUUUAAUAAAAAACACACCAAAGCCAAAUGUUACGUUUUCUAUUCAGUUUCAAACUGACUACAAUCAGUUUGAAAAAGCACUGAAGGAAGUCUUUGGUAAAUUUCAUACGGAAAGCACACCAGUAACAAAAUCCACUCCAGAACCAAUUACAACUAUGUCAGGAGUUUCUGUGAACCAACAAGUUGUUCAUACUUCAAUGGGCUGUCCUCGUUCUAUUAGUGCAAGGUCUCCCAUUUCCCUUCCUACAUCAAUGCAAUCCUCCUUCGAAGGUGACCCUUCAUUUGUUAUACCUCCAACAUCCAGCCCUCAAAGUAUUCCACCUCCACCACCUUCUGUAUCUCUUCCUCCAGGUCCUAUUCAUGGGCUUACUAGUAUUCAAGAAUAUAAUCUACAGCAGUUAGCUAGUCUGGCGGAAAAAGUCGAAAUGGUUGGAGACACGAACGUGGUUGGGCCGAGUUCGAAUCCUAGUCCAACGCCGUCUUUCACUUUAGCAGAUUUAUUUGCCGGCGAUCUGAGUUCUACCAGCCAUGCAAUCAAUAAUUUACAAGCUCUUGCAAAAUUAGGAAACACACUUGGUAAUCAAGAUCUCGGCAAUCCUACUAUUAAUGGUGGUAGUGGUUUAGUACUAGGGAGAGGUCCUUCGCCAGCCAUUGUGGACACACCAAACUUGAGUCUAGCUGCUAACAGUCUUUUAAAUGGAGGAUUUCAAUCAUUAUCUUCAUCCACUUCCACCAUACUUUCACAGGGUGCUGAUGAUUUAAGAGGAGACUCCAUGCAUAACAUGCCUGUAGUAGUAGGAAAUACAGUUGGCAAUGUAACUGGUUCCGGUUCUGGAAAUUAUACUCAUCCGCGUUCGAAUAACACGAAAUUAACUCCUAUGCAAAUUAGGUGUAAAUUUGGACAGUUAGGUCCCAGUAAAGGUCAAUUCAGCUCACCUCACGGAUUUUGUUUAAGUGCUGAUGAAGAUAUUAUUGUUGCCGACACGAAUAAUCACAGAAUUCAGAUAUUUGAUAAGACUGGCAUAUUCAAAUUCCAAUUUGGUGUUCCUGGUAAGGAAGAGGGCCAAUUAUGGUACCCUAGAAAGAUCGCCGUGAUGAAGAACAGUGGAAAAUUUGUUGUUUGUGAUCGAGGGAACGAACGAUCGAGGAUGCAGAUAUUUACAAAAAGUGGUCAUUUUAUCAAGAAAAUAGCAAUUCGUUACAUCGAUAUUGUAGCUGGCCUAGCUGUGACUAGCGAAGGCCACAUUUUGGCUGUUGAUAGCGUAUCACCGACGGUGUUUGUAAUCAGCGAUACAGGAGAGCUGUUAAACUGGUUCGAUUGCAGUGAAUAUAUGAGAGAACCAAGUGAUAUUGCAAUUAGUGGUAAAGAAUAUUUUGUUUGUGAUUUUAAGGGACAUUGUGUUGUGGUGUUUAACGAGGAGGGAAACUUUUUGCGUCGUAUUGGCUGUGACAAUGUAACAAACUUCCCAAAUGGGAUCGAUAUUAGCGAUGCAGGAGAUAUAUUAAUAGGAGACUCGCAUGGUAACCGUUUUCACGUGGCUGUUUUUUCAAGAGAUGGUUCCUUGAUUUCCGAGUUCGAAUGUCCAUACGUCAAGGUCUCUCGAUGUUGUGGCUUGAAAAUAACCUCAGAGGGGUAUAUUGUAACUCUGGCUAAAAAUAAUCACCACGUCCUCGUGUUGAACACUCUUUACAUAUCAUGAAGCAAAGGGGCAGACCAAAUAAGUAUGUCGUAACUUUCUUCAGCGAGUGGAAUUAUCUUGGUGAAUGUCGCUCUACUCUCAACGAAGAACAAAUCGAUUAAUACGAAGAAAUAAACGAAAGAAAGAAGAAAAAUAUCCAAUAUGCCCGUGACAUUGAGUUCUUUGAGAUUUGGGCCUAUCCAAGCAAUAGAAUUACAAACGAGUGCAGCAUGCAGCUUUAAUAGUCUGUAUAAAAGAAAAAAAAAAUGGAAAAACAAGUAUAAGUGCGUCCCUGUUUUAUGAAAGUAACAACGUUCGAAAGAAGAAAUAAAAAUAAAAAAAAAAAUUAGGUAAACGUACGUCUCCGACCAAAAAACAGUAUAAAUAGUAAUUUAGCGAAGUUGCAUUUGGUAAACUGCCAAGAAAAAUUAACAUGAAGAAGAAAAAGAAAGAAACACAGUUAGGCAAGGAGUAGCAGAGAGAGGAAAUUGGAAGAAAGCCGAAUUGGAUCGCUUUGACCGGAAGUGGAGGAGGAGAUGUGGAAGGAAGUUGCAGAACGGUAGCUUUCCGUCACAAUCGGUCACAUCAUCUUCGACUUCGUCAGUAUUUUAGGGAUGAAUGGCUAGUUAAUGAGGAAAGUGGGAGGAUAUGUCUAAAACCUCAAGGAGAACAGUGCGAAAUUGCAGAAACGCUAUAAUAGAGCUACUCAAAACAACAGAAAAAAAAUAAUAAAUCUGCGCGUAACAUUUGUAGUAAAUUGCACGAAGCCUACGUACGUACACCUAAGCUAAUAAGUCGUAAUCAUCUUUUAUUAUUAGAAGUUUUAAUUUUAUAUAUAUUAAAGAAAAAAAAAAAAGAAGUAAUUCUGAAGUAUUUAAUAGUCAUGGUUAGUAGAGUUAUAUAAAUAAUGCCUGUGAUAAUAGUAUCGUCAGGAUAAGUUGUGUCCUUACAGAGUCUUUGAUGUCGUUGCAAGGUAAAUAUUAUUAGAGGUACCGAAACGAAAUGUUGUUAGCGAGACGCCUUGUGGAAGGUGUAUUUCUGUUUAAUGCACAAUAACACCCGAUACAAAGCCAUCGAAUGGUCUCUAAUGAUAUGUAUGAAUUAUAUACACAAUACACAAUAUGAAUAUAAGAAAAGAGAAGCAAAAAGAUAAUAUUGAGAAAAAGUAAAGAGAAAUAUGUUGCAAACAUUUUUGCCAGUCGUAUUUGAAGACAAAGAAGAAGAAAAUAAAAAAUGGACUCAUAGUGUAAUGAAUGGAUGACCAUUAAUGAGAGGGUCUUUUACCUCACAAAAUUAUUAUAUUACGCUCACUUGAAUAUUUUAGUAUAUAGAUUUACUCUAUUUACAUAUUUUUAUCUGUGGAAGACUACUUGGCUAAUUUAGGCCACUGUUGAAAUUCACCCCUUAUUUGCCUUGAUGUUUAAAUUACAAUAAUAAUAUAAAAGGAAAAAAAAAUGAAACGGGGAUUACAUGUUACGUAAAUGGUAAUUGUGAUAGAUUUUUUGAUGAUUUUUACAAUCUCAAAAGUCUUAUUAUCCUAAUAUGUAUAGAAUUAUAAUAGUCACUCUCGACAUAAAAACUACAUAAAGAAAACUCUGCUUACAUUGUUAAAGAAAAAUAACUAAUAAUUAUUAAAUGACAAAAAAGUAAUGAAUAUAUCACCUUAUUGUAAGCAGUUUAUAAGAGACAAAAGAUAUAUAUACUAUCAGUCUAUUAAAGUAAACGUAUUCAGAUAUGUUCUACGUAUUAUACUUUUAUCUGAUCUAAUGUUUUUAUCGCUAUAAAAAAAAAUAUAUAUAUAUAAAUAAAAACAGUUUCCAAGGCCUUUUUAGAUGCCACCUAAAUAUACUUCUUCGACACGAUUUCGGUUUUUGUAAUGGUUCUUUGUGUUCGUUUACGAUGACGUGCUAUCUAUGUGCAGCUUAAAAGAAACACAAAAAAGCAAGAGAGGGGAAAGAGAGAAAAAAGAAAUUGAAAUUCAUAAAGAAGGUGUCCAUUGUUUUUACGAUUCGUAUCUAUGAUAUGUUUAUAACAAUGAGGAACAAAUUUAAUUAAUUUAACGAAGGAUUAAAAAAUUUUUAAUACGGUAGUAAAGACUCAUAACUAUUGAUUCCAUCAUUCCUAUGUAUUUAUUGACGAAGGAAACAUUUAUUUCGUAAGUAUAAUUUGGCGAUUUAAAAGUGACGCGUGAUUUCAAAUUCCCAUUCGAACAAAUUCUUGCGUUUAUAGUGCAAAUAUUUGGUUUUAUAUUUUCGACAUUGAUUAAUGAUCGGUCUAUUAAUCGACAAUGUGUACAAGAAUGAGCUGCUGCAGUUGUAAGAAUGUGUACGAAAGAGAAAAAUAUAUACAUCUGACAAAAGCCAUUGUUUGUCAGCCGUAAAAGAUGAUGAAAAACAGGAAAAUUGUGUCGCAUAGUCAAAACCAAAAAAAGCGGAGGGUAUGCUACGAACAAGGAAAAAAGAUACGAAAAAUUAAAUAUAUAAAAUAUGUUCCUGAUUUUGAAGAUCGCAUCACAUUUAAGUGAUACAAUAAAAAUAAGAUUACACUUGCGAGUUUUUUGCGGAUAUCGCGUCGGGGGGCACUUAUAUAUAUAUAAUAUAUAUAUACACAGGUAAUAAUAUAUGAUAUAUACAUAUACACAUUAACGAUAGGAUUUAAAAUGAAAAAAAAAAGGUUGCGUCAUUAACUGAAUUCUAGCCUACGGUUAAUCAUAGUCUUCCUAGAGUUGUGGAAAAAAACAGAAAGAAAAAGAAAGGUUUUAUCUUUAUGCGAUUACCGAGUUUUUUCUAUCUAAGAUCCAUGGCUAUCCUGGAAGUCGAACCGUGAUCUUUUACUAUAGCCAUAAAGGAGCGUAAUAAAAUAAAGAAAGUUAUUACCCUCACAGUGUUUAUGCUGAUGAGAAUUGGCGGUCGAAUUGAUCUGCUUGUGAGAGACAUUUUAUCGAACAUGACUUAAAAGUGUAACUAUAAAAUAUUAACUUUAAAAAAGGAAACGGAUGGAACGGAGAUGUUAUAAGUGAAGGGAGAAAUAGGAGAAAUCGUACAUGCAUAGGUACAUACAUAUAUUUUUUUCCUUCGAACGUUAUUAUUCGUCGUGUAUUUGUACAAAGAUCUAAAUAUAGCGGACAUAGGAAUUAGAGGAAACAGAAGACGAGUUCACAAAGGUUUAGGAACCGUAUCUUUGUUAAAUUAUUCAUGUGGAAUAAGUGCGUUUUCCUUGUUGCUCUUUUUUCCUCUUUAUUUUUUCUUCCUUUUAAAGUGGCAUUUUUUUUCUUCGCUUUACUCAUUUCUUGUAGGUCGUUUUUAAGUAAUGUUAAACAACUAUUUUUUUAUCUUCGUCGAGGCAUUAAUGUGUGUUCUUGUGUCGGUUGUUUAAAGGAAAAGAGGGCAUAUUUAUAUGUAUAUAUUGUCGUGUUGAUUUUUUCCACAUUGUUAAAAUGUUGGAUGCGUGCAUUUUACCAUUUUACACAUGACGGACCUAUUGUAAAACGGGGACACCACUUUCAGUUUUCCAUUUUUUUUUUCUAUUAUUAAUUAAUAUAUGGCAUCUCAUGUGGGGUUUUUCUUUCUGUUCUUUUUCCUUUCCCCCACCCAUAACUUUGAUGUUUUAUAUCAUUAUUAUUAUUACAACUAUUAAUAAUAUUAUGAAUACUACUACUACUAUUACUACCACUACUACUACUACUGCUAUUAUUAUUAUUAUUAUUAUUACUAUUAUUUUAUUAUUAUUACUAUUAUUAUUAUUACUAUUAUUAUUAUUAUUAUUAUUAUUAUUAUUGCAAUUUUUUUAUUUUUGUUUCCUUUUCCUUUUCUUGACUUUUUUCGAUCAUUGUUACCACCUUGACCCGCGAUUUUCGUUUUUUUUUUUUUUAAAUUAACAAAUUCCUUUUUAUGUGUAUUAUUUUCCUUUUUCUUCUUUUUAAUCAUUCAAAUCUAUAUUCUUUUUUUUUGUUUUCUUCCUCUCUCCAAUACUCAAGCCGAAAUGACGAAAGACAUAAAAGAUUUCCUUCGUCUCGUUGCCUCUCGACCCGCCAGUUUUCGACAACUUAUCUUUAAUUUCUAUUUUUCAUCUUUUUUUUUUUUUUUUUAAUUCAAAUAAGUGCGCGAACGCUCUUGAGCAGCUCUUAUUACUAUUAUUGCUAUUAUACUUAUUAUUGCUAAUAUUAUUAUAUUGCGACCAUUAUUACUAUUUUUUAAUAAUAGCAUUAAUUUAAAUGUAGUUAAUCGUUAAGACUUUACAUUUUUUUUUCUUUUUAUUUUUUGUGUUUUGCUUUUUCAAGUUGAAAAAAGACGAUGUGUAGAUCUCAAGACAAACGCCGAGGAAAGUUUCUCAAUUUACAGAACGGCCAUUAUUUUCAUACCACUUCCUCUCUCCCCAUUCCGCCUUCGUUAAAUAAUCAUUUUUAAUCUUUUAUUAGUUGGCUCGAUUCGAGAGGAAACGAGAUAUCGAUUGUUCUUCAUCCGACAAAAGAAAUUGGGAGACCCUCGGUUUGAAUUUCUCGCCAGUUCAGGCCGCACAGUUUCCGCCGAUCUUCUUUUUUAAUUUUUAUCCUUCGUUUUUUUAAAUCCUCCGCAGACUUUUACUAUUCGCUACGCGUAGUGAAAUUCUUUAGUGCCAAAAGAAAGACUAAAAUGAAAAUAAAAUAAUAAAAAAAAAAAGGUAAAAGAAAAGUAACAAAACGAAGUUUAAAAAAAGCGAACGACAGACUGCAUAAUUUAACGAACGGAACGAAGAGGAAUAGAAGCACUUCGAUCGCCAUCAUUUUUCUCUUUUUUUUUAUGUUUUAUUUGUCAUUCAUAUUUAUUUAAUGAUGAUUUCUUCAAGUUGAGUUCCAUUUAUAUUAUAAACAUUAAUAAGUAAAAAAGAAAAAAUAAGAAUACAUGGGGUAUCAGUGGUUCUAGAGUUAUAAGGAAAAAAAAGAAAAUAUGAAGAAAGGAGCAAAAAAGAAGGAAAGAAAGAAAAGAAGAAAUUAUUAUAUAUAUAUAUAUAAUAUAUCUAUAUAUAUACACACACAACAAUUAUAAAAAUAAAAAAAAUGAGGAAAGACAGAAAUAUUAAACGAUUAUAAAAAAAAAAUCCUUGCUUAGUCAGUUAAAGUACAAAUGUUUAAAUGUAUUCUAUGAUUAGGUAAUAAGUAUAAAAACGAGAGAGGAGGCGUGCGUGUGCAAGCGUGAAAGGGAUGAGAGAAAGAGAGGGAGAGCAAAACGCGCGUAGUUGCGUAUAAACUUGGUUUCAUUCCUUACUAAGCCUCUGAUAUAGCUUUAUUUAUAUUUGCAUUAGUUACUUGACGUUUAAUAAUACUUAAAAUGACAGGACGGGCUGAUAGAGGGCGAAGUAAAAAGAAAGAAAUGUGACUUCUUUUUUUUCUUUUCUUCGUUUCUUCCUACUCAUUAACAUAUGAUAUAUAUAUAUAAUAUAUAUGAUAUCAUAUAUAUAUUAUAUAUAUCCACACACCUAAUAUGUAUACAAAACCCUCGUUUUACUUUGAUAUUAAUUUUAACGAGACACGCGUUCCUUUUUUUUUUCUUUUUUUUUUCGGAGAUGUUUUCUUUGACAUAUCAAAUUGACCACAAAUGGACACAUAAAGAAACCGUUGCAUUCCAUCGGCGUAGGUACACGCCCUUCGAUGUUUCCCGUGAUCUCUCUCUGUGUGUUUUUUCACUUUUCCAACGACAAAAACUUGGAACCUCCGCUUUUCCAACAAAAGUACACUUCAAUUUUGUGGUGGCAGCUAGUUUUAGACUGGAAGACAGGUUUAAAAACGUCCUCAAUGCAAAAUAGAGAAACAGUUCUUCUAUGAAUAAAUCCUGUUACAUUCAUUAGCAACAAAAAUUAUAUCUGAAUGGAUGAUUCUUGGCUUAGUGUCUGGCUCGGCGUUCCUUGACAACUGGAUUUCUGUGAUUUUAUCAUUUGAAUGCCUCCUUGAGCCAGCAGUCACAAAAAUCUUGAAGGGAACCGAAGCAAAUAAGUAACAAAAGGUAAAGAUUUCAAGUGAUACUGUUUUAAGCAAUAGGUAGGAAAUAACAGAAGAGACAUGCAGCUUAUCCCACGUGCAAUGUUGCAAUAACAUGUUAUUUAUAGUUUGUAAUUUAUUUGUAAGCUGUAUCGUUAAAGAAGGUGGUAAGUAAUAUUUGAUAGUUGGCGAGGGAAACGAAUUUUAUUCUAAUUUCUCUUCGUACAUUGUUUCAGAUUUAGAUAAGAAAAUUUUCAGGGAAUUUGCUUAUUUCAUAUAAUAUAAGGGAUUUCUUCUUAUCUUUUGCCUUCAUCUUGGUCUUUUGUAAUUGUGUUUCUUCAAAUUUGUUCAUUAGUCGCCAAAUUUUGUACCUGGGAAUGGCAUCUCCAGAAACAUUCUAGUCAUAAAGGGUUCAAAAGAGGUCCAGCUUCGAGCUUUUAAUUCAAACUAAUGGAUUAUUAGGACUUGUUAGUCUUCCUUGUUAUCAUGGAAGACAUUGUGAAAGGACUUGCUUAUUCCAGAAAGAUUGACAAAUCUUUAAAUCCAGAUCUGUUUUGGAUCUGAACUGUUUACGAGCUUCUAUGGACAAUUUCACAAUAAAAAUGUCUUCAAAGAGAAUGAAACAAAUCAAAACUUAUUCUACAUAGGGAGGGUCAGGGUGUCAUAAAUAAGCUGAUAAAACAAAGGGAACAGUAAUGUGUGAGAAAAGAACGCCGAGCCAUAUACUCCUGUAUACUGGAAUUAAGUAAAGAAACAAUGUCUUUGAGGAUAGAAUUUAAUGUAGCACAAUAUCCAAAUAGAUAUUGGGCAUAUGGUUUACACCAUACAACAGGAACAGAAAAGCAAACAAAGAGUAUAGAAAUAUAAGAAAGAAAUAGUAAGUGAAGCGAAGAGUUGAUAACAGACAGAGAAAAAAGAAAUUCACGCGAUUUGCUAUGCGUAAACCAUGUUUUCCUGAGACCUCCAUUGGUAUUUUUUAUUAGAUGAGACUUUUCACGGAAAUGGGAAAAAAGAAAGAUGUUCCGACAUGUUGCGUAAAUACUUCAAAACUGUAAACUGUAUAAAAGGAUAGUACAAGACAAGGGAGAAGUGGUAAAAAUGCAAUAUGGAGAAAGCGUGUAUUCCAAAUAUAUUUUUUAUAUAUGCUAAUGGGAUGCCAAGGAGCAUGGUGACGUUGUAAACGUUGAAAAAAAAUCAAUACUGUAUUAAUUAGCGCGAGAGUUACACGUACGGUUAUAUGUAAGAAGAAAGAAAAAGGGAGAAAUGCACAUGCAUAUAUCGACCGUGUAAUCGAAUUGUCAGUUCCCCCCGAAACUACUCAGCCUUUAGAUUAAAAAAAAAAUAUAUAUAUAUCUAUAUCUAUAUAUAUAUAUAUAUAUAUAUAUUUAUAACCGCGAAUUUUCGUUUUCAAAGUAUUUCAAUAUUUAUAUAAAUAUAUAUAUACAUAUAUAUAAAUAUAUAUACAUAUAUAUUAUAUAUACACAUAUACGUACAUAUUAAAAUACAUAGAUAUAUAUGUAUAUUCGUUUCUCUAUUAAGUCCUUUGAAUGAGAAAGAAAAAAGAAAAAAAAGAGCGAUAUCUUUGAUGAUUCUAAUUUUAAUUCCUCAUCGUGCCCAACCAUCAACUCCUACCGAAUUUCCCCAAAGUUUGUUAAAAACCUAGUCUUAUAUAGUAUACACACAUACACCACAUAUAAGUGUUACGAUAUAUAUAUGUGUGUAUAUUAUGCACAGUAUGCAUAUGUACGCAUGUAUAUAUGUAUAUAUAAAGAAAAUGGAGAAAUGCGAAGUCUCUCCUUUCAUUUCAACGGGGAUUUCCGCUUGAUUAUUAUAUUAAUUAUUACUACUACUAUUAUUAUUAAUAUUAUUAUUAUUAUUAAUGUUCUUCUCUCUUCCUUUUUUUCCUUUUUUCUUCUCUACGUCGGUACCUACUAAAUUUUUAGUUUCAUUUUUAUAUGGAAUAUUCAAAUUUAUGGUAUUAUACGUAUACACUUCUAUAUACACUUUUACAAACAAUAAUAAAAUGGAAAAAAAAUAAAAUGAAAAGUAAAAUAUUUUAAUCUACGUAUUACAUUAAUAUUAUUGUAUUUAAAGAUAUGUGGAAAACAGUUGCUACUUAUAUAUUUGUCAAAUGUACACGCGCGCGAUAUAAUCUUUGGAAAGGUAUCCUCUGCGGGACGGGCAGAACUUGGGAGGAAGGAGAAACAGAUUGUUGUUCUGAAUAUAUUUUUCAGAGUUCUUUUACAAUGAUAUUCUGCAUAAUCAUUGCGCCAAGACGCCAUUUUGUUCGUUUUGAAAUCUCGUAAGUGAGAAGUAUUUAAAGAAAAGUAUAAGACUCUAUUCUCUCGCCAUUUACCUUUGUCAAUUCGCCCAACUUCGUUACGCCCCGCGCGGAUCUCGUUUCCAAGCAAAAGAGAAAAAGAGAGUUACUCAAAUAUGUAGGAAACAUACGUUCUUAUCUGCGUAUAGGCUUACUAAAUGCAAUAAUAAAUAUAUUGUGAUGCUCACGAAAGCACAUAACAUAAUUUACCAAAAUUGUAAUGUUUAAAAUAUUUCAUGUGAUUUUGGAAACUGUUAUAUUUUUUAUUUCCUGCCAAUUGUUUAAUUUGUAAUGUUGUUCUUUGUUCUUUUUUCAAUAAAGUAAGCAAACCAACUUUAA